GCGGUCCUGACUGUUCUGGCUUGGACUACAUAUUACAAAGGCAACGGAGAAAACUUGGACCCCUGGCUCCGGUUCCGGGACCUUUUGGUUCCACCUGAAGAAGGCGGCGCAGGUCACUGCGGGAGCCUCUGCAGCCCCAGCCCGCCGCCCGCGUGGUACCCUGCGUGGCGGUGAGAGUGGGGCUGCAGGAGGCGCUCAGAGCGCGGAGGCCCCCAGGCGGGCCGGGCGAGUCUCCCGCCUCCUCAGGCCCUAGGGUGCUGGAGCUGCGGAGGAGGGGCCCGUCUCUAGGAGACAGGCGGGGAGCGUGAGAGACCGCGCAGCGGCGACAGGACCGGCUUGCCUGUGUGACGUGGGUGCAGUUGCGGGACUGUGAGGGGUCUUGGUUCUUUUGACUUUGCUCUUCUGGUAGAGAAACGCCAAGGACUGAUCAACUCUUGCCAGUCUCAAACCAUGUCCUAUAUUUGGAUUCAAGAUGUGAAAUAAUCAGCGAUGGGAAAAUGCAGCUUUAUAGGAAACACUCAUGUGUUACUCUCCAUCAGAGAAUUCAUAAUGGACAGAAACCAUAUGAGUGGAACACAACAGAUUUGAGAAGCCUCGGAUUAAGGAAUAAUUUAUGAAGCUCCGUUGACUACCGUGGAGAGAUCAUAAUUUGGGGUUCAAGAUUCCAGUCUGUGUUUUUCCAGAGGUGCCCUGAGGAGCAGGGAAGCAUGGCUAUUGUGGAUGUAAAAGCCAUGUUCAAGCCAGGUAUGGUGGUAUGUGCCUGCAGUCCCAGCUACUCGGGAGGCUGAGAUGGGAGGAUCCACUUGAGCCCAGGAGGUCAAGUCCAGCCUGGACAACUAUCAAGACCCCAUCUCUAAAAAUAAAUAAAU
rnacentral:lncRNA from 1 species